CACGCUGUAAACGAUGUCAACUAGUUGUUGGGUUCCUUGAGAACUUAGUAACGCAGCUAACGCAUUAAGUUGACCGCCUGGGGAGUACGGCCGCAAGGUUAAAACUCAAAUGAAUUGACGGGGGCCCGCACAAGCGGUGGAGCAUGUGGUUUAAUUCGAAGCAACGCGAAGAACCUUACCUGGCCUUGACAUGUAGCGAACUUUCUAGAGAUAGAUUGGUGCCUUCGGGAACGCUAACACAGGUGC
rnacentral:rRNA from 1 species